GGCAGGUUGCCCGAGUGGCCAAUGGGAGCGGACUGUAAAUCCGUCGGCGGAAGCCUACACAGGUUCGAAUCCUGUACCUGCCA
rnacentral:tRNA from 1 species